rnacentral:rRNA from 1 species
UUAAGCGACUAAGCGUACACGGUGGAUGCCCUGGCAGUCAGAGGCGAUGAAGGACGUGCUAAUCUGCGAAAAGCGUCGGUAAGGUGAUAUGAACCGUUACAGCCGGCGAUGUCCGAAUGGGGAAACCCAGUGCAAUUCGUUGCACUAUCGUUAACUGAAUACAUAGGUUAACGAGGCGAACCGGGGGAACUGAAACAUCUAAGUACCCCGAGGAAAAGAAAUCAACCGAGAUUCCCCCAGUAGCGGCGAGCGAACGGGGAGCAGCCCAGAGUCUGAAUCAGCUUGUGUGUUAGUGGAACGGUCUGGAAAGUCCGACGGUACAGGGUGAUAGUCCCGUACACCAAAAUGCACAGGCUGUGAACUCGAAGAGUAGGGCGGGACACGUGGUAUCCUGUCUGAAUAUGGGGGGACCAUCCUCCAAGGCUAAAUACUCCUGACUGACCGAUAGUGAACCAGUACCGUGAGGGAAAGGCGAAAAGAACCCCGGCGAGGGGAGUGAAAAAGAACCUGAAACCGUGUACGUACAAGCAGUGGGAGCACCUUCGGGUGUGACUGCGUACCUUUUGUAUAAUGGGUCAGCGACUUAUAUUCUGUAGCAAGGUUAACCGUAUAGGGGAGCCGCAGGGAAACCGAGUCUUAACUGGGCGUUAAGUUGCAGGGUAUAGACCCGAAACCCGGUGAUCUAGCCAUGGGCAGGUUGAAGGUUGGGUAACACUAACUGGAGGACCGAACCGACUAAUGUUGAAAAAUUAGCGGAUGACUUGUGGCUGGGGGUGAAAGGCCAAUCAAACCGGGAGAUAGCUGGUUCUCCCCGAAAGCUAUUUAGGUAGCGCCUCGUGAAUUCAUCUUCGGGGGUAGAGCACUGUUUCGGCUAGGGGGUCAUCCCGACUUACCAACCCGAUGCAAACUACGAAUACCGAAGAAUGUUAUCACGGGAGACACACGGCGGGUGCUAACGUCCGUCGUGAAGAGGGAAACAACCCAGACCGCCAGCUAAGGUCCCAAAGUCAUGGUUAAGUGGGAAACGAUGUGGGAAGGCACAGACAGCCAGGAUGUUGGCUUAGAAGCAGCCAUCAUUUAAAGAAAGCGUAAUAGCUCACUGGUCGAGUCGGCCUGCGCGGAAGAUGUAACGGGGCUAAACCAUGCACCGAAGCUGCGGCAGCGACACUAUGUGUUGUUGGGUAGGGGAGCGUUCUGUAAGCCUGCGAAGGUGACCUGUGAGGGUUGCUGGAGGUAUCAGAAGUGCGAAUGCUGACAUAAGUAACGAUAAAGCGGGUGAAAAGCCCGCUCGCCGGAAGACCAAGGGUUCCUGUCCAACGUUAAUCGGGGCAGGGUGAGUCGACCCCUAAGGCGAGGCCGAAAGGCGUAGUCGAUGGGAAACAGGUUAAUAUUCCUGUACUUGGUGUUACUGCGAAGGGGGGACGGAGAAGGCUAUGUUAGCCGGGCGACGGUUGUCCCGGUUUAAGCAUGUAGGCUGGUUAUCCAGGCAAAUCCGGAUAAUCAAGGCUGAGGUGUGAUGACGAGGCACUACGGUGCUGAAGUAACAAAUGCCCUGCUUCCAGGAAAAGCCUCUAAGCAUCAGGUAACAUCAAAUCGUACCCCAAACCGACACAGGUGGUCAGGUAGAGAAUACCAAGGCGCUUGAGAGAACUCGGGUGAAGGAACUAGGCAAAAUGGUGCCGUAACUUCGGGAGAAGGCACGCUGGUGUGUAGGUGAAGUCCCUGCGGAUGGAGCUGAGACCAGUCGAAGAUACCAGCUGGCUGCAACUGUUUAUUAAAAACACAGCACUGUGCAAACACGAAAGUGGACGUAUACGGUGUGACGCCUGCCCGGUGCCGGAAGGUUAAUUGAUGGGGUUAUCCGUAAGGAGAAGCUCUUGAUCGAAGCCCCGGUAAACGGCGGCCGUAACUAUAACGGUCCUAAGGUAGCGAAAUUCCUUGUCGGGUAAGUUCCGACCUGCACGAAUGGCGUAAUGAUGGCCAGGCUGUCUCCACCCGAGACUCAGUGAAAUUGAACUCGCUGUGAAGAUGCAGUGUACCCGCGGCAAGACGGAAAGACCCCGUGAACCUUUACUAUAGCUUGACACUGAACAUUGAGCCUUGAUGUGUAGGAUAGGUGGGAGGCUUUGAAGCGUGGACGCCAGUCUGCGUGGAGCCAACCUUGAAAUACCACCCUUUAAUGUUUGAUGUUCUAACGUUGGCCCCUGACCGGGGUUGCGGACAGUGUCUGGUGGGUAGUUUGACUGGGGCGGUCUCCUCCCAAAGCGUAACGGAGGAGCACGAAGGUUAGCUAAUCCUGGUCGGACAUCAGGAGGUUAGUGCAAUGGCAUAAGCUAGCUUGACUGCGAGCGUGACGGCGCGAGCAGGUGCGAAAGCAGGUCAUAGUGAUCCGGUGGUUCUGAAUGGAAGGGCCAUCGCUCAACGGAUAAAAGGUACUCCGGGGAUAACAGGCUGAUACCGCCCAAGAGUUCAUAUCGACGGCGGUGUUUGGCACCUCGAUGUCGGCUCAUCACAUCCUGGGGCUGAAGUAGGUCCCAAGGGUAUGGCUGUUCGCCAUUUAAAGUGGUACGCGAGCUGGGUUUAGAACGUCGUGAGACAGUUCGGUCCCUAUCUGCCGUGGGCGCUGGAGAAUUGAGGGGGGCUGCUCCUAGUACGAGAGGACCGGAGUGGACGCAUCACUGGUGUUCGGGUUGUCAUGCCAAUGGCACUGCCCGGUAGCUAAAUGCGGAAGAGAUAAGUGCUGAAAGCAUCUAAGCACGAAACUUGCCCCGAGAUGAGUUCUCCCUGAGACUUUAAGUCUCCUGAAGGAACGUUAAAGACGAUGACGUUGAUAGGCCGGGUGUGUAAGCGCAGCGAUGCGUUGAGCUAACCGGUACUAAUGAACCGUGAGGCUUAACCU